GUAUGAUUUGUUUUGUUGCUCUCCCGUUCGGGUAUACUCGUCUGUUAAGUCCACCUGAUUCUUCGUCCGAUGAAACUGAACCGAUU